rnacentral:rRNA from 1 species
AGUGAACGCUGGCGGCAGGCCUAACACAUGCAAGUCGAACGGCAGCACGAGAGAGCUUGCUCUCUUGGUGGCGAGUGGCGGACGGGUGAGGAAUACAUCGGAAUCUGCCCAGUCGUGGGG